UACGUAGGGAGCAAGCGUUGUCCGGAAUCAUUGGGCGUAAAGCGCGCGUAGGUGGCUUCGUAAGUCCGUUGUGAAAGUCAAAGGCUCAACCUUUGAAAGCCGAUGGAUACUGUGAAGCUAGAGUACGGAAGAGGCGAGUGGAAUUCCUGGUGUAGCGGUGGAAUGCGCAGAUAUCAGGAGGAACACCCGUGGCGAAGGCGGUUCUCUGGGACGGUACUGACGCUGAGACGCGAAAGCGUGGGGAGCGAACAGG
rnacentral:rRNA from 1 species